AUGGCAACAGGUGGGGAGCCGCACCGACACAGUAUGACCGGCUGGCACGAGCUCUUCAUCCCCAUGUUGGGUGCGGUCAUAGGAGGAUUGGGCUACCUCCUAAGCAUGGUUCAAGAGAAGUACUGGCAUACAAAAGGAAGAACGUGCAGAAAGACGAGACCAUACAGUCCAUGGAGAAUGAGAAAAGACAGCUCUAGGAGAAGGCCAAGGACUAUCGUGCCGGGCAUGAGCAGGAUCAGAACCAUUGAUCAGGUAGAGGCCAUUGAUCUAUCUUCAGAACCUGGAAGCCCAAUACCGAAGCCGGAGAUCGGAGGAAGGUUUUGGGUCUUGGCCGACGAUGGAGAUGAAGAAGAUGACGCUGAAGUCCGAAGAUCACCUGGUGCCACGAGGUCGACGUCGCCCGGGCGUUUUUUGAAGUGUACGACUCCAGUUGCGGAUUCCUUCACGCGGAUCAUACCUGGAGAGGGUCGCAAGGACAGGAAGAUCGCGGAUCCACGACAGGCGGCUCUCUACAAACCCACGGCGGUGGGGAUCAAGCCUUGGAAGGGCCCCCUUCCUAAGGUAAGCCGGCCGCAAGUCACGUUAUCAGAUUAUUUUUCGUCGGAUGGUUGGACGAUGAUCACUAGAAAGAAGAAGAAGAAGGCGUCUCCAACAGUGUUUCAUCUGCCGCCGCCGGCUGUCGGACCAGGCGAGAUCCGUGCGGCGCGUCGUGCCCGUUUGAACUUGCUGCUAGGCCUUAGUGGGCCGGAGGCAGACUUGUCUGUCCGGGGCCCGAGGCGCACUGGGGUGGCGCCGCCGCCGGCUGGUACUGCAAGGGGCGCCGCGGAUCAUUCGCUGGCCGUCGGGGCUGCGCCUAGGGGCCGCGGAGGUGGCAACCCCGGGACCCGGCCGACGGUGCCAGUUGCGGGUCGGGGCGGUCCGCCUCGUGGUACCCUGCCUACGGUGACUAGGCCGCCGGUGCUAGCAGGGGUGUCGCCGGCGGUCGGGCAUGGUGGACUUCGGCCUCCCGCGCCGGCUAAUGCUUCUGUGGGGCGUGGCGCUGCUCCCCCGAGGCCUCCGGCUCCAGCGGCGGUGGGGCGUGGUGCUGCUCCCCCGAGGCCUCCGGCUCCAGUGGCGGUGGGCGUGGUGCUGAUCCACCGAGGCCUCCGGCUCCAGUGGCGGUGGGGCGUGGUGCUGCUCUGCCGCUGCCUCGCGCCGCGCCACCGCCGCACUAUAAAACUGCAGCAGUCGUUCGUUUGUGCCAACUGCGUCACCGAGCGCGUCGUGUUCUUCUACUCCGCCGACGGCGCCAGGCUCUUCUUCGAGUGUGACGGCGCCGUGCACGGGGUUAGCGCGCUCGCGAGCCUCCACCUAUGUGCCCCGCUUUGCGACGCCUGUGACGCCGAACGCGCCACUCUCUGCUGCCAAAUCGGCGCCCACCGGGCCAUGCUCUGCGCCGGUCGCCGUGCGCUACUGGACCGCGGCGGUGGAGCCUCCCCCGUGGAUGCUUACACCAGCGGCUACGCGCCCGCCGAGAUCGUCUGCAUCCUCUCCGUCGACGCGCCGUCGUCGCAUGAGGACUUCGAUGUCUGGCUCGCCGACAACCUCCCCCAAAUCCUACACGAGGUUCAGGAGACUCUUCUUGAUGAUCUUGCGUGCCAAAUCUUACAUGGACAGUUUGAUUGUGUGAUCCAGCGACAAAAUUCAUUGAGUAGUGCUGCUAUAUAUCAGUCAAGGGAAUGGAUGCACGGAUCCAUUGGCCUGCGUACCACACAUCCCCUCACUAAUUCUAUCAGUGUCAUUCUUAACAAGCCAAGUUCCCUUUGUUGUUGUGUUGAAUUUUGGGGAAAGGCGGCCAAGCAGCUCGUGGCAUCUGUGUCGCGCCUGCUCCGCCGCUACCUUGACUCGCCGACAACGUCGCCCGUUGGGCUGCAGGGGUGCAAGACGACCGUGGGGCCCAUUGCAUGGGUGCUGAGUAUGCUUGAUUUCCAUGUCGGAGACGAAGGCCCUAGAGCUUGGUGGCUUAUGUGUGAUUCGUGUGAGAUGAAGGUGGUGAACCAUCUCAAUAUGAAGCCAAGUAUGGUGGAUUUGCCAUGGAUGAUGGUAGACCGAAGUACUCCAUCCGUUUUUCACCACUCCCUCGCCGGCCGCUUCCUCCUUGGGUCUCGGCGGCUGUCCGCGGCAUACGCAUCCGUGGCGGGCGGCGGGUCAUCAGCCGUCAUGCCGCUAACAUCGUCGGGGUCGGAGGACGAGGAGGAGCUGAGGAAGCCCGCUAUGCGGAGGGUGGUGGCGUGGUUCUACGCCGCCGCGAGCCGGGCAGCUCUCUCUGCUGCCACCUUCUUCUACUGCGCCACCUUCAUGAUUCCUCGAGUGUCCGACGAAGAGCCGAUGCAUUCUUGCGACAGCGGCGGUGGGCAUCGGUCUCCGCCGAGGUGUUGGCGGGUGCUGGUGUGGGCAAGGCAGGGUUGGACCGCCGCGGAGGACAAGCUGCCGACCCAGGAAGUUGGGGAUGUCGUCCAAGAGGAGCUCCCGCCCCGGUCCAUCCCCGAGCGCCGUGGCACAAUGCAGAGCGUGACCUCCUCCUCGUCCGGGUUGGACGAGCUCGACGAGUCGGCGGCGGCGAGCCCCACCCAGUCGAUUCCGUCAGAGCCGGAGCCGGCCAUGGUGGAAGGGGCGAAGGGGAGAUUGGGUGGAAGGGGAGGAGAUGGAGGGGAACGGAGAGGGCGAGAGGAGUGA
rnacentral:rRNA from 1 species